CUAUAUACUUUUAACAGGAUAACCAAAGAAGAAGGCUGCUGGAGGCACGAGCGAGGAAAGUUAUCUUACAGAAAAAUGGAAAGUGUCCCAGAACAGCUAUCCGCAUCAUCAAGCCUGUGCUCCUGUCUAAUGGGUCUUUUGUUAUAGCGAGUCAUGAGGUGUGGUGAAUGAACUCCCGUGAUGAGGUGUGCAGUUGGUAAUACAAUUGAAUCACAUGUAUAUCAUCUUGGUGAAAAAGAUCAAUUUAGAAGCAACAUUUAAAGUAUUCAAUUUCCCAAUAUCAUGAAAUAGAAAACAUAGAAAGUACUGAGUGAGGCAAAACAGUUUUCCAAGGUACUAGUCCACUUCACUGUAUGUAGCAGGGAUAUUAAAGAAGACCUUCAACAAUGUCUUCUGUGUUUUGAACACUAGGGAAUGGCUUUGUUUGCCACAUAAGACUUCAGUUUGACUAAAAAGGUUCAUUUCUCUGUUUGGGAAUAAAGAUGGACUAUCAUUUGCCUGUCCUUUCUGGCCCUUUGAAUUCAACACAGCUAACCAAAUAACACUAUGUGCCAUGCAAUAUUCCAGGACUUAUUUUGUAUGUGUGCAAGUUGGUGAGUUUAUAUGAACCACAAGCAUGCAUAUGCCUGCAGAAGCCAGAAGAAGAUGCCACAUUCCCUGGAGAUGGUGUUAAAGUUGUUUUCAGUUACCAAAUCAGUCUGAGUCAGAGUUGAAUAUGCUCCCCCAUGUCAGUGUCGCCAUCAUUGCCAUCCUCAUGUCAUAGUGGACAUCACUUCCUGAGAAAGAAAAGGCCAUACUAGGGGAAUUUAUUUCAAUAGCCUUUAUUUUACUUAAAACUGUAUAUGUCUAACAUAAGAUUGUAUAUUAUUCAACCACCAGAGGGAGCCUCCAAAUCUAUGGUUUCUGAAAAGGAAAUAUGACUGAAGUGUCAACUUUAUAAAUUUUAUGCUUGACAAUUAAAAACCCAAUGCAUUUCAUUUCAUGCCAUUGGCCUCCGUGAGGGUUUUCAUACAGAAGAUGCCAUGCUCUUUUCCUGCUCCAUAUGCCGUAUCAUUUUGGUUAACAGUUUUUAUAUAUUACUCUAUUUUUGCAUGAUUUUGAUUCUUUCAGUAGUUUGAGUAAUUCUGAUAUUUUAAUUAUACAGUUGAUUGAGACUCACCAAUAUCUUGCUUCAAAAUGAUUUUCCUUCCAUACUUCUUUUAAAUCCUAGCUUUUUUCAGGGGUAUUUUUGUCUUUAAAUUGAUGAUCUUUAUCCCUAUAUAUUUUUUCUGUAACCCCAAACAUCUAUU